AGUUAAUUAUGUUCUGCACCUACACCUGCUUGUCGGAGACGCUAACCUCGGUUAUUUUUAUUUUUUUUAAAGCCUAUAUUACUUGUUCAAGGCCUACAUUGCCGCUUUAUGUUCACACUUUAUGCAUGGACGCACAAACACCAUGACGCUGGAUUUAUUUUGAUACCGAACACCCCCCCAGCUAAACAAAAAACGUCUGAAAUGUUUGAGGCAAGGUUUUAAGCUAUGAGUAGCUAACUUGUCAUUUUAUUUCGAAAUGGAUUUACUUACGUUAAUACCGACAACACUGGAAAGGGUGUGGUGCAGCUCUCUGUGUGAUGGUGAAGAGGCUGCAUAUCCAUCCUGUAAGAUCUGAGCACACCCUUGGCAUCGUUUAUAAACUUCCCUGGAAUAUUUGGCACACUAGCAUCAUCAGGUCAGGUGAAACAGCUGCUGACAGAUGUGCAGUUUUAGUUUUAGGAGAGCUCUGCAGAUAAUUCAGCUCUUGGACAAAACCUCCUGCAUGUCUGGAUCUUAAGUUACCAGAAAAAAACACGCUGAGCAGUGAAAGCAGCAGCUCCUCCACUGACAAGCCGAACAGUUCUGGAGAAACACAAAUUAUUAAGUUUCAAACCCAGUGAUGAAAGAAACCCAGGAUUUGAAGACAGCUAAGGGCUGUCAUCCGUCUGUCGUUUCUUCAUCCUGAUAUUACGGCGACAUUGGUUGUCUUGUUUUUCAGUCUUUUUGAGCGAAUGAUGUUCACUUUGAGCAGGAGCUGUUUUCAAAGUUGAGGUAUUGUUCUCUGCUAAGGACACAUGGAAACUCUGCCUCUUUGUAAUGCUUUCAAUCUCUAUCCAGUCUCGGCGGUGAGAGACACCAGCGUUUGAAGGAAAAAUGGGGAGUUCUUCCUCUGUGCUCCUGACAUUUGACAUGCCGUGCCUUGAAUGAAUGCGGUGCUAUUUUGGGCUUGUGGAAUAAAAUGGUCAAUUUGAUGCCAUGUUUAUAGCGCUCCUGUGUUGCCAUGAGUUGUGGCUAAAAAAAAAAAUCUCUUGUCUGUGGUUAUUAGGGUUAAUAUGUGUAAUUAGAAUACUGGAAAAAAUGUGAAUGUCAGGAGACGAUUUAUUGAUUUGGUGAUUGACAGAAAUGUAAUCACCAUAAUUUUGAUUUGCAUCUGCAUUUCACCAAAUGUGAAUAAAAUUAUAUAUUGGCAAAACACACAAUGAGGUCAACUGCCAUUAGCAGGUUGCUGAAUAAUCCUUCUUCCCUACAAACUCUCAUCACUACAGCACAAGUUUAUUGACCACAUUUUGUUUUGCUGUCAAUGGCUGUCAGUAAUUGUAUCGAAAUUCUUUGAUUGACCCACGCUGUCCACUGCUAUGAUUGUUUUUGCUUUAUCUGCCUUGCAACCUGGCUCGUGUGUGUUCUCGACUGUUUCUUGGACAGUAAAAGUAAUUUUAAAGAUGGCAUUAUAGGCUGUAGGAAACCGAUGGGAAUUAUUCUGGCAUUUGAUUAGACAAUAAAUCAUAAUAUUCACAAUAUCACAAUAAUAAAUCAAAUCAAGAAAAUCGGUAAUGACAGUUAUUAUUUUCAGCUCCAGUCUACAUUCAAAGAAUUGUUAAGAUACCUGCUUGGUAUAUAAAAUGUCAAGAAAUAGUGUUUUUUUUCCCCCUUUAAGCCAUAGGUGACAUCUUUAAACGUCUUGC